rnacentral:rRNA from 1 species
UACGUAGGGGGCAAGCGUUGUUCGGAUUUAUUGGGCGUAAAGGGUAUGUAGGUGGUUAUGUAAGUGUGGAUUUAAAGACCGGAGCUUAACUUCGUGUUUGGUCUGCAAACUGUGUAACUUGAGUACGGAAGGGGAAGCUGGAAUUCCACGUGUAGGGGUGAAAUCUGUAGAUAUGUGGAAGAAUACCUGUGGCGAAAGCGAGCUUCUGGUCUGUAACUGACGCUGAAAUACGAAAGUGCGGGGAUCAAACAGG